rnacentral:lncRNA from 1 species
UAGGAGAGGCUUAGAAGGGACAUAACUGGUAAUAGCCACUGGUGGCGCUACAAUCGAGCCCAGUAAUUCCAACCUAGUUUGGCAAGGGUGGAAACUGGACUUUUAAAGUCAGUUAACUCUCUCGCCUUGGAAAGAUGACUUCUCACUUGUCUCCUGACAGUUGAUGACACCCAUUUUUGGUUUCUUGUUUUGUCCACAAUAAAUUCAUUAUUUGAGUUUCGUAAAUGUUUGUAUUUCAGUCGAAGGCAUAUUUCUAGUUUGAAUUGUAUAAGGCAGUUACAUUAACUGUUGACUGAUGUGACGGACUACGUCAUUGCUUUAUUAUUUCAAAUGAGGAAGGGGCGGUGGGGUAGUCUAGUGGUUAAAGCAUUGGCUCAACACACCGCUACCCCGAGUUUGGUUCCCUACAUUUGUACAAUGUGUGGCCUGUAAAUAAUUGUGUUUCAUCACAUGUUGAUAGCUCACAUGCUCUCGACCACUGGUUUGCCUGGCCCAUUCACUAUUUACAUAAAUAUUGCUGAUGGGCUAAAAGAAACAUUCACUUACACACCAACCCUCUGUAUCUCCAUGGUUUGCAUUUGAGUAAACCUACAUUAACCCCUGGAUUGAUUCCUCACGAUCUCAGAUUGCCUGCACCUGAUUUUCAUUAGCCAAUUUGAUUUGCCACGAGACUAAGUCUAAUGGACCAAUCAGAAUGCAGGUUACAAACCAGCAUCAAUGUAUGGUUGGCAAUAUCAACAACAUGGCGGCAAGAAAUUCAACAUUGAAAAACUGACAUGCAAAAUAAAGCCCUCAAAAAUAUUUUUGAUGGAAAUGAUGUCUUCAUGUCCAUGAAAACGAGAUGUCGCGUUGGUUUCUAGGCUAUACGAGUUACCUCCCUUUUUCCUGACUCGACAUUGAUAUGUCAGUAAAAUGUUAAUAAAAAUCAAGGAGAGUAAUUUAACGUUGUCAGAAGCACAGGAAUGGAUACAGGGGUUAUGCCUGAAACUGAAAUGCUAUCCCUGGAAAUGGAAGAGGGCUCUCACUCUCUCAAUGUGAAGAUGGAGAGUUUAGUGAGCACCAUAUCUUUAUCUGAUAUUAGACCAGCAGUUCUUGAACAACUGUUGAAGGUCUUAAUCCAGGCCUCAUUGUGAUAGCUGCUUGGGGAUAUUUCGAAGUUGAUUUAUUCGUCUGUGUCCAAUUCUCACAUUAGCUUCCAACAAUUCCUAAAUUGGUCUUGGUCUUGAAGUCAUACCAACCUCAGCCUCAUGCAAGUCGGUUAAACUUUUGGGAGUGUAGUUGCAUGUACUUGGCUCAUGGCUUCAUUUUCAGUAUAUUAGUGUUGUCAUAUCUUAGGCUGAGCAAACUAGACUAAACAGAACUCCAAUCUAACUUUGGCUUCAGUUUGAGUCGUAAACUGGUGUAAUCUACAAAUCCUUGCAGAAACUGACAGAUAUCCUUUCGGACCAGACCACAUGAGACAUAUGUAAUCCAUGUGGAUUAUUUAUGGACAUUUUUGAAACCUGUUUCUCCACUGGAAAAUUAACAUAUGGAGUGUGAACCAUGCACAAGGGUGGUACAACCUACUGUCGUUCUAUUUAUAACGGUUAGAAUGUUUAUGACCAAUUUUGUUUGCAUUUAAAAAUUGUUAUUUUCAUCCAGUUAUUAUGAAUGCUUCAUUUAAUGCCGAUGUGUUGUGCAUAAAGAUAUAAGAACGGGGUAAAAUGAUGAUCACAAUGCCAGAUGUAUGUUGUGAUAAGAAUGAUUCAUUGAUUCACUCGCUCUCAGAAAGGCCAUUGAUUGAGACAAUACAGAUGUCUCACUGUUUGUUGAUUUCCUAAAAGGAAGGAUUGCUGCUGAAACAGUGUUCUUCUCAUCAAUCAUGUAUUCUCCAUUUCAGAGCAAAGUCUUGCCGAGUCAUUUUAAUCCAAGUUGCACAUGUUUUUUGUGUUCAUAUUACAUUGGUGUAAAUGCAUGUGGUGUGUUUUAUUUAUUAAAGCAUUCUAUUGAUGCAA